AUUACGAGACUUGUUACAAGGUUGUUCUAAUAAGUCUGAUACAGUCAUGAUAUAACGAGAAUGUUACAAGGUUGACGACACAAGGUUGUAACAAUAUUGUUAUAUCAUGACUGUGUCGGACUUUUUGGAACAACCUUGCAACAAGCCUGAUAAU